rnacentral:lncRNA from 1 species
AAUCGUUUUGCUGGCAGCCGAGGGAUGAAUCUGCGACUGCAUGGGGGUGACGCGAGCAUUUACGAAAGGACAGUGUGCCUCUGGCUUCCGUACGCGUCGGAUCAUUUUGCCCUUAUUCGUUGCUCUGGUCUUUAUCAAUGCAUUUAUGUUUUAAAUACAGUGAUUGGAAAUAGAAGAUUACUGUUGGUGAUUAUAUUCUUUAUAAACCUCAAUUACGUGUAAUUUUUUAAAUCUUUUUAUGUUAUUUUUUUUUAAGUUCAAUUUUGGUUUUAAAUUGAAAUUUUUUUAAGAUUUUUAAGGAGAUUUUCAUUUUCCGGAUAAGAAUGACAAUGAAGAUUAAAGGUCUGGAAAAAACUUUAUAUCUAGUUGAUUAAUUGAAAGAACUGAGCUGGAGAUAAAAAAUUUUUCGAGCUCACCCUUCCCUUAAAUGUAUUGAAAUGUCUCAAGUGAAUAUCUAUGUAUAUAUAUUAAAAAUCCAGAAAAAAUGUAGAGCAUAUACACGAACACCCUGAGGAAUUCGUUAUCCGGUUUAGCAGACUAUCACGGCACGUGCUGGACUGGAAGUCGCCAGUUAGGAAAUCCACGAUAAAGUUAAACCUGAUGGAACUUGGAUAACUCGAUUAUCGAGCUUGGAUUAUUCGCUUUCAUUGGUGGAAAUCCGACUAGGAUUCUCACUCAAGGUUUCAAGAUCCACGAUUGUGAAAAUUUAUCAGACUUUUUUUAUUGUUUUAAAUUUAUAAUUUUCGAUAACAACAAUACAGUCUAUCAUUUUCAUGAUCAACACUUAGAAAAUUUAUAAAAUCAGAGUUAUGUUAAAAUGACUCACAAUUAAAGUUUUAAAUGAAAUAAAAUGUGUAGUAA